rnacentral:rRNA from 1 species
AUUGAACGCUGGCGGCAGGCUUAACACAUGCAAGUCGAGCGGAGCGAGGGUGCUUGCACCUUAGCUUAGCGGUGGACGGGUGAGUAAUGCUUAGGAAUCUGCCUAUUAGUGGGGGACAACAUUCCGAAAGGGAUGCUAAUACCGCAUACGCCCUACGGGGGAAAGCAGGGGAUCUUCGGACCUUGCGCUAAUAGAUGAGCCUAAGUCGGAUUAGCUAGUUGGUGGGGUAAAGGCCUACCAAGGCGACGAUCUGUAGCGGGUCUGAGAGGAUGAUCCGCCACACUGGUACUGAGACACGGCCCAGACUCCUACGGGAGGCAGCAGUGGGGAAUAUUGGACAAUGGGCGGAAGCCUGAUCCAGCCAUGCCGCGUGUGUGAAGAAGGCCUUUUGGUUGUAAAGCACUUUAAGCGAGGAGGAGGCUACUAGUAUUAAUACUACUGGAUAGUGGACGUUACUCGCAGAAUAAGCACCGGCUAACUCUGUGCCAGCCGCCGCCGUAAUAC